rnacentral:rRNA from 1 species
GACGAACGCUGGCGGCGUGCCUAAUACAUGCAAGUUGAGCGAUGAAGAUUGGUGCUUGCACCAAUUUGAAGAGCAGCGAACGGGUGAGUAACGCGUGGGGAAUCUGCCUUUGAGCGGGGGACAACAUUUGGAAACGAAUGCUAAUACCGCAUAACAACUUUAAACAUAAGUUUUAAGUUUGAAAGAUGCAAUUGCAUCACUCAAAGAUGAUCCCGCGUUGUAUUAGCUAGUUGGUGAGGUAAAGGCUCACCAAGGCGAUGAUGCAUAGCCGACCUGAGAGGGUGAUCGGCCACCUUGGGACUGAGACACGGCCCAAACUCCUACGGGAGGCAGCAGUAGGGAAUCUUCGGCAAUAGACGAAAGUCUGACCGAGCAACGCCGCGUGAGUGAAGAAGGUUUUCGGAUCGUAAAACUCUGUUGGUAGAGAAGAACGUUGGUGAGAGUGGAAAGCUCAUCAAGUGACGGUAACUACCCAGAAAGGGACGGCUAACUACGUG